rnacentral:ncRNA from 1 species
UAGAUAGAGGCGCGGUUCUCAUCAGUACUUUCCGGCAAGGUCGUGCAGCCGCCGGGAAGGAAAGGGAGCGCCGCCGAAGUGCCGGAAGAAUGCCCGUUCUUCCGUCGCUGGGUCGGCAGAGAAGAUCUGCCGGACUGUCACAAGAACUUUGUGAAGCGCUAUCA